rnacentral:rRNA from 1 species
CAGUGGGGAAUUUUGGACAAUGGGCGCAAGCCUGAUCCAGCAAUGCCGCGUGCAGGAAGAAGGCCUUCGGGUUGUAAACUGCUUUUGUACGGAACGAAACGGUCCGGGUUAAUACCCUGGGCUAAUGACGGUACCGUAAGAAUAAGCACCGGCUAACUACGUGCCAGCAGCCGCGGUAAUACGUAGGGUGCAAGCGUUAAUCGGAAUUACUGGGCGUAAAGCGUGCGCAGGCGGUUUUGUAAGACAGGCGUGAAAUCCCCGGGCUCAACCUGGGAAUUGCGCUUGUGACUGCAAAGCUGGAGUGCGGCAGAGGGGGAUGGAAUUCCGCGUGUAGCAGUGAAAUGCGUAGAUAUGCGGAGGAACACCGAUGGCGAAGGCAAUCCCCUGGACCUGUACUGACGCUCAUGCACGAAAGCGUGGGGAGCAAACAGGAUUAGA